ensembl:antisense Gm12996 predicted gene 12996
GGAAGAUACGGCAGUUUUGGAUCCGCCUCCAUUCUCUUCGCUUGUCUGCCGAGGGUUGGCCCAGAAAAACCUCAGAGAAGCCAUGGCAACAAAGGGCCCUGUACUUUCUAUAGAGGAGCACCCUGCCUUUGUCUGAUCCAGCCCGGUGCUCCUCUGUCUCUGCAAACAACAAAAGAUGUGGCCACCCGGCUGGCUUCCCCGCCCCCACUAGAGCGCUAACCGAGACUGAGGCAGGUACAGCUCAGCAGACCAGGAGCAGGGCUCACAAGUGAGGUCAUGCUUAAUAAACUUGAUUAAUUUCUUUGAGCAGCAGCCUUGCAAGAGGACAAGGGUGAAACAAGAGACAGUAAUUCAUCCUGAUUUCGAGGUGCAAGAAUACAGCUACAACCAGCAGAGAUUUUUGUGAAGAUGCUGUUGGGGCCUGGGGCUCAGCCAUGGAAGCAGCAGGAAAACUCAGGGACAGGGACAUAUUUGCUCAUGAUGGCUUAGUGAAAAGGGAACCCGUACAGGGGACAGAACAUGGAUCCUCUAAGUCGUUGGACCAAGACACAGUCUCCUGCUUGGAUCCCUUGAAAUGUGUCCUGAGCAUUUUGAUCUGAUAACAGUAAAGAUAAUCCUAGCUGC